GUGCUUGCUUUGGCAGCACAUAUACUAAGGAUACAGAGAAGAUUAGCAUGGCCCCUGCACAAGGAUGACACGCAAAUUUGGGAAGUGUUUCCUAUUUUU
rnacentral:snRNA from 1 species